ACAGCCUGUCUGGAGGGGGAAGACAUUGUGAGAGUCUCUUAUCCACACAGACCUUCCCAGAUGCUGCAAACAGUCACAUUAGUGCUGACUCUGAAAGAACUUGUCUGCUCAUCCAUCACCUCUAAGAAGAGGAGGAAGAGGAAGGACACUGAAGUACUGAGGAGGAGGACAGCAUUUGGUGAAGAAGAUGAAAUUAAACUUGACAUUUUUUGGAUAGGUAUCAAGCUCUAGUGACUUUCAUUUCAAGAGGCUGAUAGACCAUAUUCUGUGCUGUUCCUUCUGGGCCUGAUCCUACACCACCAAGAAAAAUGUAAGCCUUGCCAUUGACUUAAACAGACUAUUUUAGAAUGUGUUCAGAAUUAUCCCAGCAGGUUCCUAGAGGAGUAAAAGACAGCUUUGUGUCAUCAAAUCAUCCCCAAUUAUGCCAUCAGCAAGAGCAAAUACAUCAACAAGUGCUCCAUCAAAUCCAGCGUUCUUUGGAAAUUGAUUUACAGCUACCUACUUAUUCAAAGAGAUGAGUCUAGUGAGGCCUUUGCAAAUUAGGGGCACGCUAUUGUUCCCUGCAAGACAAGAUUUGGAAGUUCUUAAUGAUCAUUCACAUUUUCAAAAUAAAAAUGUGGGGAGGAAGUUUGCUGUACAUUGUAUAGGUCUUAGGCUCCCUCAUUAACUCCUGCUCCCGGUCAGCCAUCUGCCAGGCCCCACAUCUGCUUUAGUCACUCUCUAAUAUGAUGCGUGGGGGAAGUGGAUAGGAAACAAUAUAGUGUACAUUUGAAUAGAAGAAAAAUAUUGUCUCUGGCGUUCUCAAUGAAACAUGAAAGCCACGUAAAACUGGAGGUAGUUUCAUCAUGCUCAAUUUCACUGACCAAGAAUCAAAAUAAUAUGGAAGUUGUAGGAUUUUGGUUUAUUGCAUGGCAUCAAGUAUCCCCCAGAGUAACUGCCACGGUAUCAAAGAUGUUAUCCCAGUAAAAACCCAAUUUAAUUAGGUGUUGAAUCAGGCCCACUGCCUCUGGGCAAUCACAACACACAGUAAUCUUUAAUUAAGUACAAUCAGCACAUAUCAAAAAAGUUCAAAGGCUGUUAGAAGAGUCUGUUAUCUGGACAUCAGGCAGCAAGAGCAGAACUGGAACUCUGUAGGCCCUACAGAUGGAAGUUAGGAAGCUGCCCUUAUACCAGAAGCAGGCAAACUUUUUGGCCUGAGGGCUGCAUUGGGUUUCGUAAAUUGUAUGUAGGGCCAGUUGGGGAGGUGUCGUGGCCUGGCCCCCACCUCCUAUCUGCCCCUCCCUCAGGACUCCUGCCCCAUCCAACCCUCCCUUUUCCCUGACAGUCCCCCCGGGACCUCUGACCAGCCCCGGACCCCUGCCGCCCCAUCCAACCCCUCCUUUCAUUCCUGAUGGCCCCCCCGGGACCUCUGCCCCAUCCAACCCCCCCUCCUUCCUGACUGCCCCCCCCAGGACCCCGGCCCCCAUUCAACCCCCUGUUCUCCCCACGAUCACCCUGACCGCUAUCCACACCCCCACACCCUGACCACCUCCCAAAUUCCCCUGCCCUCUAUCCAACCCCUCUGCUCCGUGCCCCCUUAUCGCACUGCCUGGAGCACCCGUGGCUGGCAGCGCUACAGCCACGCUGCUCGGCUGAAGCCAGGCCACGCUGCCGCCGCUGCCAUCACGCAGCACAGAGACCGGGUCAGGCCGGGCUCUGCAGCUGCACUGCCUCAGGAGCUCACAGUCCCACCACCCAGAGCAUUGUGCCGGCAGAGAAGCGAGCGAGCUGAGGCUGUGCGGGAGGAGGGACAGCAGGGGAGGGGCCGGAGGCUAGCCUGAUGUGGCCCACGGGCCAUAGUUUGCCCGCCUCUGCCUUAUACCCACAAUUCUUAAACUUAUACACAGUUCCUUAAGUAUCUAAGUAUCUAACAUGCCAAUACAACAUGCACCUGAACUUGACAUUACUCACCCAUUUUCUAGCAGGUUCCACCAUUUUGGAACCUGCUAGUAGAUAAAAUAUUAUGGGACAUACAUAAUAUGCCAUAGCCAGCCAGUCAUUCUGGCACCACAGAUUAUAGUUAUACAAUGACAGUAACCUCCGCUGUCCCACUGCACUUGAAAACAUAGCCAAGCUGGGAGUUAUGUGAGAUGGUGAUGGUGGAAAAGGAAACAAUUCUUAUCACAUAGUGGUCAGUCAAGGCACUUGACCUGGCACUCCUUCCUGGGAGGGAACUGCUGGCACAGUGUUCUCUAUGGAGCCCGCUGGUCUAGAAUUUUUUUUUCCGUCCUUUUUCUGACCAAUCCUGGAUCUCUUAAUAUUCCAGACAUCUUUCCACAUGAGCAUUUGGGGAGUGGCUGGACUGAGGGAUGGAGAGAGUCUAUGGAGAGAGUUUUACAAUGACUUACCUCUAAUUCUGAAGUGUGCUGUGACCCCUUUAUGCCACUCUUGCACUGUAACGGGGCUGGAAAUUGCCUGGCAAUUCUCCCACUGCAAGGCAAUUUUCUGGCAGCAUAAGGCUAGAAAGAUGGACCUACACAGGGCUAGCUUUUAGCCCCUGGUGCAGGGACAUGCAAAAGACAGGCAGGGGCGUGUUGGUGGAUGAAAAGGGUGUGGCCAGAAUCUACUGCCCUUCAGUAAUCCUGGGAGAUCAUUGCAACUCCUGGGAUUGUGCCAGUUUACACCAAGAGGCAAACAGGACCUUGCAGCCUGAAGCUGCAAAAGGUGGCAAAAAGGCACAUUUGCCCUCUCCUCCUGCCUCCCCUUCCAGGCUCUGCCUACUGAGAGGUGCAGCUCAGAAUCAGAACCACUGUGUUUAUUAGUAGGUAAUUAUCUAAAUGUGAAGACCAGUCCCUUACAUAGGCCCAUGCUACUGUGAUAUGGAAGUUCUGUAAAGCAUGGCGAGGGCACAUAAUGGAAAUAUACACGAGUAACUGGAAUAAUUUUAGGACUGGGAGAAGUGGGGAAGCCUGGUUGAGACUGAACAGCCAAUUGAGAAAUACAACUUUCGCCUCAGCAGUGCACAACUUAGACGGCUCUAUUUCAAACAGGAAUUAAUUCAGGGAAAUUCUAUGACCUCUGCUAUACAGGAGGUCAGAAUAGAUAACCACAGUGAUCCCUUGUGGCCCUAGAAUCUAUGACAUACAUUGCCAUGGGCAUGCAGAGCCAGAGAGGUGUACAAUAAGCCCCUCCCCUUGGGUGACUGCACAAAGGCAUUUCAUUAUAGCAAACCUUGUUCUCACUGCACUCUGCAGAGCACAUGACAUGUCCAUUGGUGCAUCCCCAUGGGGAACAAGCUGUCAAAAAAGAGGUGAGGAUGAAGUGAGGACAUGGCACCAGACAGAGCAGAGCAGAAGGGGAGCAAUCCGCUCCAUUUUAAAUAGAGUAAUCAUUAGACUACAUGUGUGCGCAAGUGCCCAUCAACAUGGGUGAGGAUUUCACCCUCCGUAAGGACAUAAAAGUAAAAGGGAAUCAAACCCAAGUGAAGCUACUAACUCUGAACUGAUGUGAUAUAAAACUCUGAGUAAGUAAUAGCAAAGGUGUUAUUCAGAACAAAGCUUCAUUAAUAUAAAAGUAAUUUCAAGGCCAUCAGAUGUCCUGUAGGUAACCCACACUUUGAUAGUCAGUGGGACUCCGAUCCCAUGAGGACUACAUUGUGCCUGAUAGGCACUGGCCUGAAUGCAAUCUGGUACAGAGAGAAACAAUGAGAACUGAUGUUGCUCAGCAUCUCUGAAAAUACAGCUACAUAUUUAGCUACCUAGCUUCAGUCGCACCUGAGUUUGAAACUUUUGGCCUUAAUUGUCACGUGCUACUCACUUUUAGACAUCUACUAUAAGUAAAUAGCUACCAACUCUACACUAGCAAUUUAUUGAAGACCAACUGAUGGACCUGUAUUUAUGCUAAAAUAGCACCUUAUUCUACAAUAGUCCAACCAGGAUCAAUGGGAUAUUCUUGGAGGAAAAGACUACUCAAUAUGAAUAAAUUCAGUUAAAUCCAGUAGUAAACAGUGACCCACUAUACACAUAUGACAUUGACAAUGACAAGGACUCAUAUGUUUCAUGGAGUAAGCUCAUCAACUAAGGUCAGGAAGGAAUUUCCCCCUAUGAUACAGUAGCGCACAUGGGAUAGAUGUGUAGAUCUCAAAUUUUCUCAGAUAUAUUUAGUCUAGACCAUUUUUGGAUACAAGGUACUGCAUAAGAUGGACCAUUGGUCUAGACUAUAUAGAUCUGAUCCAGCUCCAAUUUAAAUUAAUGGCUAAACUGCCAUAGAUUUCAGCUGUGCUGGACUGAGUGCUAUGUUCCUAUCUAUGGCAUUUUUUUUAAUUCAGCACAAACUAAAAACUGAUUAGAGCAGCUAUACAUCUAAUAUACUGAUUAGAGCAGCUAACUGACAGCAGUGCAAUUCUUGAAGUAGAAUCAGAAUUAGGACCUAACUCAGUGACUGACUAGGGCAACAACUGACCACUUUCGGGGUAUAAUCAUACUACAAUAGAAAUACAGGGAAGCCAGCUAAGGCACAGUGGGAGAAGUCAUGGGAGGUGGGAGUGGGGAAUGUAUCUUGGCAAAAUAUUUUAGUUUCACCAAAAACAGAAGUGUCAGUUUCACUCACUUUCUAAGCCUCCAAUUGCAAAGUCUACAGGAAAUUGACGAAAGGGACCCCAAUAUAACGCUGUCCUCGGGAGCCAAAAAAUCUUACCAUGUUAUAGGUGAAACCACGUUAUAUCGAACUUGCUUUGAUCUGCCAGAGUGUGCAGCCCUGCCCCCCCGGAGUGCUGCUUUACCGCGUUAUAUCCGAAUUUGUGUUAUAUCGGGUCGCAUUAUAUAGGGGUAGAGGUGUAUUUCUUUCUCAUUACAAAAAUGCCACUGUACAAACUUCAAGGAGAUUGCACAGAUGUAAAAAAGGGUGUAAUUUUGUCCAAUAUAUCUUCAGAUACCCAGUCAGGAGGUUAAAUUCAAGACUUAGUAUUAUUUAAUUUUUAUUUAUUUGUCACACUGUCAAUCUAUGUUGAAGGGUACAUUUUUUGCUGUUCAUUCUAGUAUAAAACUUUAAGAAAACGGAAAUCAUUUUAUAUUGCCAGUACUUAACAUAUUUGCCACCUAACCAGGUAUAUUAAAUAAACUAUAUAUUUUUCCUGUACAUAAAAAUGUUCCAUUAUAAUAAAAAUAGACCAUUUGGGAACACCAUUGGUAUGAAUGAAGUCCUCUAAAGCAGCAACAAAUAUUAUUAAACAAUAAUAAUGUUUACUAUUAUUAUGAAUCCAUGUAGUCCACAUAAUAUCUAAGGAUAGUACUCUGCUCACACUAAACCUAAGUAGAUGGAAGUUCAAAUUCAGCAGCCAUGGAACUUCCAUCAUAUCAAUACUCAACACAUUAUUUUUCUCUUCUAUAAACAUAAAUAUUGGAUUUGACAGAAAUUAGUUUUGUGCUGAGAGUGCUGCUAUGCUGGAUGGAGUUGCAGUUGAACUCCUUAGUCUAACUGUGCUGAGAUCUCCUGGUUAGGAUAACACAUCUGCUAUUCAAUGUUCUAAAACAUGAGCUCAUGUGGAGAUUAAUUACAAUAGGUUUUAAGGUUAAUUAGAUAAUAAGAACAUUAAAGUUACUGAUAAUGUGAUGCUGUUAUUAUUCUAUAUUUCUAUACAAGAAAAGGAGUGUAAAAGAUGGGUACAGCUAAGGAUCACUGUGAACUGAACAUGUUGGCUUAGGAAGAGACUAUUUGAGCUGCAGCUGGUAAUGCCAUUCUGAAUGCUUUUUAUGAAGAGUACAGAACUGAGCAUAUCUGACCUUUACCUUGCAUCACCUCAUUAGAAAGAAGUGAAGUAUGUGCUGGAUGUUUCAGUGUUUUUCUUCACUAACUGUGAAUGGAAUAUGGCUUAUUUUAUGGGAAAUGCUUUAUUUUACUAUUCACAGAUAUAAUUCAAGUUACUUAAUAACAUCAAUUCACUGGGUUCUACCUGAGGUGGUAAAUAGAUUUAGCAGGACUAAAAGUAAUUGCCACACAACCAGUUGUGAGGGAUAGAGUACAGAACAAAUCCCCUUUUAGACACCCUUUAAUAAGGCAAUAGUCAACCUUAAAGAGAUGUAGAAUAACUUCAUGUAUAAGAGUCACAGAGAAGCUCUAAGUGUAUAGCUACCUGACUCCCCACCCCAUGUGUUUACACUGUGAUGCUGCAUCAAUAUGACUGUAUCAUGAUCUUCUGAGACAAUGCCAUGAGGCAAACAUGGCAUAGUAGCAUCAUGCCACAUUCUGGGGAUUUUCAAAAAUUCUUCUUGAUGCAGUCUCCCUCUCCUCUGUCCCCACCCCUAACCCUUCCAACUUCCUGGCUAUUGGGAAGGUCAAAACAAAUUUACCUCAACAACCCUGGUUCCUUUAUAGGGCAACCCUGCUCUACCUCAGGGGUGUGUCAAACAACGUGGGGAGAGCUUCUGUGAAGGAUACUUGUCUUGAAGAGGAGCAGGCAAAGCAAAAGGCGCUGCCAUCAUCCUUGCAAAUGCCAGGAGAGCCACUAGUGAGAUUUUGAAGAACCCCAUGAAGCUAUCUUAACCCUCAUCAGGGUCUCUGAAAGGAUGAUCAAGUUUUGCUAACCUUUUUGUCAAUCUGAUCGCAGUUCCAGACCAAUGCCCUCACUUGGAUUUGCUUUCCCUGACAGGACCUGGGUCAAUGUAAUACUUUCCUGUCUUCUAAUGGGAACAGGCUCUCUUUCCAGCUAGCCUUCUCCCCUAUCUUCAUUUUUUUUGAGUGGGGGGGAGCCACAGGGAAAGGAGGAAUGGGAAAUAACAAAACAGACCCUCUCCCCAUUUCUCCAAAAUCCUAUGAUCUUUGCAGGGAAGUGAACAACCUGUCCCUUCUCUUUCCCUAGUAUGAGGCAGGGCAACCUGCACAUAUUCCUCCAAUUCUGUUGCUGCCCCAUCACUGCCAGUUGCCUCCUUCUGGGGCAGCUCAGUCCCAGAAGGAGAGCACCUGUGUCAGGAAGAUUCCUCAAAGCAAAUAACAAAAGAACAGGGACAAUGCAUAAACCACUAACUGAUAAAUCUAGGUCCCAAAUGGAUGUGUAACUUCUUGAGCAAAUAAGUUGUUACACAAGGUUUGACUGAAUUCAUAUCCCUGGAUAUGCAAACUUUGACUGUUCCCAUAAAAACUUCAGCAAAUUUUGUUUCUUUUAAAGUGUAUGUGUCCUCUCUCUGAGAUUAUGUCCGCUCUGAAAUAGUGCCACUUCUAUUGUACACUUGGCACCAUGAUUCUAGAAAAAAAAUCAGUUAAAUAAGAUUAGGACAGUUGAACUGAGUUAAUGUCAUGGGACCAACUCAGUUCUCAGUCAUCAACGAUGGUUCUCACUUCAUUUUGCUACGUGUUUGAAGAAAUGAGUGUGUGUGUGUG